rnacentral:rRNA from 1 species
GUAACAAGGUUUCCGUAGGUGAACCUGCGGAAGGAUCAUUAACGUAUUGCCUGGGGGAGCGGUGGUGGCCCGCACCGGUGGAGACGCCGUGUUGCGGCCGUCCCGCGCCCUCUUCCAAUCUCAAACCCCUGUGAACCUUUGGGAAAGGCGGCUGUAGCGGCUGCCUGCCCCGUUUUAAAUACUCUGAUGUCUAUUUGAAUGUUCAAUCGGACUUGCCGAUUUAAAAUGAAACAACUUUCAACAACGGAUCUCUUGGCUCUCGCAUCGAUGAAGAACGCAGCGAAAUGCGAUAAGUAAUGUGAAUUGCAGAAUUCAGUGAAUCAUCGAAUCUUUGAACGCACCUUGCGCCCUUUGGUAUUCCGAGGGGCAUGCCUGUUUGAGUGUCUUGAAAUCAUCAAACCCUCUGGCUUUGCGGUCAGGUGGCUUGGACUUGGGGGCUUUUUGCUGCCGCUUGCGGUGGCUCCCCUUAAAUGCAUCGGUUGGGCUUUCGUGUGGCUCGUCCUUUGGCGUUGUAUUACCCUCGUCGCUGGAACGCUCGCGUGUUUGCGCCCCUCCUUGACUUGCCUCUGGAGCGGCGGUCAAUAGCUUUGUGAUCUGACCUCAAAUCAGGUAGGACUACCCGCUGAACUUAAGCAUAUCAAUA